AGAGUUUGAUCCUGGCUCAGGAUGAACGCUGGCGGUCUGCUUAACACAUGCAAGUCGAACGCAACCUUCGGGUUGAGUGGCGGACGGGUGAGUAACGCGUGAGAAUCUGCCUUAGGGUCGGGGACAACCACUGGAAACGGUGGCUAAUACCGGAUAAGCCGAUUGGUGAAAGAUUUAUUGCCCGAAGAGGAGCUCGCGUCUGAUUAGCUAGUUGGUGAGGUAAGAGCUCACCAAGGCAGCGAUCAGUAGCUGGUCUGAGAGGACGAUCAGCCACACUGGGACUGAGACACGGCCCAGACUCCUACGGGAGGCAGCAGUGGGGAAUUUUCCGCAAUGGGCGAAAGCCUGACGGAGCAAGACCGCGUGAGGGAGGAAGGCUCUUGGGUUGUAAACCUCUUUUCUCAGGGAAGAAGCUCUGACGGUACCUGAGGAAUCAGCCUCGGCUAACUCCGUGCCAGCAGCCGCGGUAAUACGGAGGAGGCAAGCGUUAUCCGGAAUUAUUGGGCGUAAAGCGUCCGCAGGUGGCGAUUCAAGUCUGCUGUCAAAGCACGGGGCUUAACUCCGUUAAGGCAGUGGAAACUGAAUAGCUAGAGUGCCGUAGGGGUAGAGGGAAUUCCCGGUGUAGCGGUGAAACGCGUAGAGAUCGGGAA
rnacentral:rRNA from 1 species